rnacentral:rRNA from 1 species
GUGGGGAAUUUUGGACAAUGGGGGCAACCCUGAUCCAGCCAUGCCGCGUGCGGGAAGAAGGCCUUCGGGUUGUAAACCGCUUUUGUCAGGGAAGAAAUCCUUUGGGUUAAUACCUCGGAGGGAUGACGGUACCUGAAGAAUAAGCACCGGCUAACUACGUGCCAGCAGCCGCGGUAAUACGUAGGGUGCGAGUGUUAAUCGGAAUUACUGGGCGUAAAGCGUGCGCAGGCGGUUUUGUAAGAUCGAUGUGAAAUCCCCGGGCUCAACCUGGGAACUGCAUUGGUGACUGCAAGGCUGGAGUGCGGCAGAGGGGGAUGGAAUUCCGCGUGUAGCAGUGAAAUGCGUAGAUAUGCGGAGGAACACCGAUGGCGAAGGCAAUCCCCUGGGCCUGCACUGACGCUCAUGCACGAAAGCGUGGGGAGCAAACAGGAUUAGAAACCCGAGUAGUCC